AAAAGAGCAGGAUAGAAACAUUGUUCUGGAUGAACUUACAAAGAUGAUUGCUAUGACAAACGAUGAUCUGAGCAAGGUCCAAUACAGUUACCACAGGACGGCUAUGUCAUUGCAGAGGGUCCUAGAUGAGAAAAGAAAUUUGCAUGAAGCUUUUGCUAACGAAACAAAGAAGAUGCAGGAGACGUCGCGUCGCCAUAUCCAGAGGGUCCUAUAUGACAAA